rnacentral:rRNA from 1 species
GACAGAGGUGCCAAGCGUUAGGCGGAAUCACUGGGCUUAAAGCGUGUGUAGGCGGAAUGGUAAGUACCUUGUGAAAUCCCACAGCUUAACUGUGGAACUGCUUGGUAUACUGCCAGUCUUGAGCCACUUAGGGGCUACCGGAACAAAUGGUGGAGCGGUGAAAUGCGUAGAUAUCAUUUGGAACGCCAAUGGUGAAAACAGGUAGCUGGGAGUGUGCUGACGCUGAGACACGAAAGCCAGGGGAGCAAACGGG